rnacentral:rRNA from 1 species
CAGCCGCCGCGGGAAUACAGAGGGUGCGAGCGUUAAUCGGAUUUACUGGGCGUAAAGCGUGCGUAGGCGGCUUCUUAAGUCGGAUGUGAAAUCCCUGAGCUUAACUUAGGAAUUGCAUUUGAUACUGGGAAGCUAGAGUAUGGGAGAGGAUGGUAGAAUUCCAGGUGUAGCGGUGAAAUGCGUAGAGAUCUGGAGGAAUACCGAUGGCGAAGGCAGCCAUCUGGCCUAAUACUGACGCUGAGGUACGAAAGCAUGGGGAGCAAACAGGAUUAGAUACCCCUGUAGUCCCUGUCUCUUAUAC